rnacentral:rRNA from 1 species
AUGAAGCUGGAAUUGCUAGUAAUGGCAGGUCAGCAUACUGCCGUGAAUACGUUCCCGGGGCCCUUGUACACACCGCCCGUCACACCAUGAGAGUUGGGAAUACCCGAAGCCUGUGAGCUAACUUAUAGAGGCAGCAGUCGAAGGUAGAAUCAAUGAUUGGGGUGAAGUCGUAACAAGGUACC